AAUAACAGAAGAUAUACAAUGGUUAAAGCAAAUGGCCCAAAUUUCCUGCUCUUUUAAACGGCUGAAUGGAUGCUAAAAACAAGGGUGCCCUGUUUUUCUCCUUAUAGCGCUGGCAAAGGUUUUCCCUGGGUUAUUUUGGGUUCGGAGGGCUCGCAGAGGUCCCCAGGGCAGAGCUGGUGGCCGGGUACAGCGGGUGCUGCUCUGCAUCGCGGCGGCUGCUGGGGCAGACAGGAUGCACGGGACUUCCAGAGGUGGGGAAUAUCAGCGUCAUUUUGAAUCAUUUCUGGUGAAUAAUGCUGAAGGUAUGAGUCACGAGGAGGGCUCCAGGCUUCUUUUGGGAUUUUGUUUUAAUGUUUCUGUGGGUAGCAAUCUGAUUUCUCCUGCGCCUGAGCCUUGCUUUCCUGCAGGCCAGGCUGCGUUUCCCUUCUAAACCUCACCCCGCUGGAUAAGGAUGUGAGGUUUCCUCCAACCAGACACAGCUUGGGAGCGUUUUCUUCUCCUUGCAAAGAUUUGUGUUGUUUCUGGAAAACAUUCUUGUUGUGCUUUGAGGGAAAAAUAAACAAGCCUUGGAUGUGAUCCCUGCUAAACUGCUGUCCUCAUCACCUUUAGCCAAGGUCCAGCAGUGGCAGCGCUUGUCUGAGAUACCACUAAGGAUGGCCAUGUGGAUAAUCUCUUCUCAUGGCUAGAACAACCCAUGGAACAUCCAAACAACCUCUUUGCUAUGUCCUCUUGCAGCCUCUCUGCUCCGUGUGCACUGAAGUAUGAAGGAGGGAAAAGAUUUUAGAUGAUUAAAUAGACAAAAUUACAGCUUUGUGAGCAAGGGAAGCAGCUGUGCUGGCUCAGGUCAGAAACAUACCUGGAGCAUGAAGAGAAUCAUAGAAUCAUUAAGGUUGGAAAAGACCUUUAAGAUCAAAUAGUCCAACCUGCAACCCAUCACCAACAUGCAGUAAAGAAAGCAAAGGAAGGGAUGGAAACCUCAUUUCCAUACCAUCUCUCUGCAAAGUACACAGUGUGGAUAGGGGACUCUGUGUUUGAAGGCUUACUGGGGCAUAAAGACCUGAGUUUUGAGGGCAUGUGUAGUGGAAAUGCUAAGUCAUGGCUUGAACCAGUGAUUGAGCACCUGGUGGGAAGGCAGGGCCAGCCCAGGGGAGCUCAGCUGCAAGCAAUACAAUGCAGCUGAGUGACCAGAUGGAGUGGAGCCAGGAUCCACCCCUUCCCAGGCCUCAUUUAAGGGUUGGCAGGGGGAGAUGAGGAUAUCUCUUUGGAGAUCCUUGUAUACUUGAGACCUUCUGAAGAGCCCAGCGUAGGCGUGGGGCUGAGCAGACAGAGCCCUUUGUUCCUUGGGCUGAUGAGCAGAUGGAGACCAGCUCUGACCUCAAGUUCAGGAUGCCCAGGGGUUUCACGAGCACCCAAGGACAAAGGCUGGCAAGCGAUGAAAGGGCUCCUGCUCUCGUUUACUGCACCCGUGUCCACAGAAUUACGUCGGUGAGGAUGGGGGCUGCUGUCAUCGGAUGAGUUUGGCUGUACCUUUGGCUGAAUGAAGGUGAUUUGCAGUGAGAAGGGGACAGAAACCAUCCAGAAGCCAAACAAACCACAAAGUGCUUCAUUCCAACCUUCAGAAGAAAGUAGCUGCUCUCCAACUUCCCCCUUUGAAAAGAUGUCUCAUCGUCGGACUCAAUUUGAACUAACGAAAAAUAAAUAUGCCCCUCCGUGCCUGCCAGCAGAACCUCGUGUCUCAUUCUACUGGAAAUGAAGCAAAUAAAAACAAAUCAUUCCUCCAAAGCCAAAGCAUUGGCAUGGAGGCCAGCACGCACCGCACAGCAAAUAGAGUUUGGCAGACGUGGCUGGGAGGAUGGAGGUUCUUCUCAAGGUGCAAAGCCAUGCCUGUAGAAAGCUACCUGAUGAGUUGGUUUUUUUUUUCCUUAUUUGAUCACUUAGAAAUGUUUCAGGUACCAUUUUAGGCUGCUCCCCUCUGCUUGUUUUAGCAGGAUGCCACUUCAAAUUAUUUGGGUCAGCUAUACAUGUGUUAUGCUCCCGCCAUCAUACAUGCCCUAUGUGAAUCCCCAAGUGAUGGCCCAUCAAAAAGCACUUUGCAUCCCUCAACAGAGCAGCCUGGAUGGGAUGCACGGGUGGGCUGGUGCUCUGGUUAAGGCUCCCCAUGCUGGGAUACCCUCAGGUUUAUCUUUUGGACCUUGCAGCUUGGAGAGGAAGCAAAUUUAUGUAAAACAUCACGGCUUGGGUUUUAAACAAAGAGGAUGUGCUGCAUUCUGUGCAAGUAGAAUAUUUACAGUUCUAAGGCAGGAUGAUCUAUGCCCCGUACAAGUAAUAAAUAAAGGUUGAGUGUUGGAAAUAGGAUUCGUAAGGCUAAAACUAAUAAAGUAAUGGUCUUUCCUGAGGAAAAUGAAGCAGUCUUGUCGCUGAGAUGCAAUCCCAAACUAAAUUUACUGUUUACUAAAAUGCUGCAGAGUGAUUUAGAUGUUGUUAUAAAACCAUUUUUAUCAUCUGCACAGAGGAUGUGGGUCAGUGGGGCUGUUCCAGGUUUCCUAGAAAAACUAAACACAGUCCCAAUAGUCACAGCUUAGCAGAGCCACUCUGAUUUCCAGCAAGGCAGAGGGAAUUCACAUCCCCAUAAAACACGGCCAAUGGUCAGAACAGGAGCUGAUGGACUGGCCUGGUAUCGCUGGGUUAGAAUUCACGUCCCCAAAUGUGCCCCAGAUCUGUCCCAGGGGAGGCAGAUGGAAACCUAUGUAUUUGGAAGAAGUGCAGCAAUGAGGGACGCUGCAGCUCCAGAGGAAUUAGUAUUUUCUAUUUCUAGAGUAACAUUUUUCUAGAAAAAGGGGGAAACCUCAACACCUGCCAUAGGUUUACAUUGCUGUCUAAAGACAUCAAAAGUGCAUUUCUGGUUUUUGAGCUUCCUGCUGCUCUUCCUGUAGAGGAGGCCCGGAGUAGAUGUGAAAAAAUAAAUGCAGCUUCCUCCCAGAGCUGAAUUUUGCCCUCGUUGAGCAGUGCAAAUCAGCACAACGUGUACAAGUGAGAAAGGAACAUGGCAAUCUUCCUUCUGCUGAUGUUACACUGCACAGCCGUGCCGCUAAAAGCAUAGCUUAAGCUAUUAGCCACCAAGAGAAACCUGAUGCCUGUUUUGGAAAGUGUGUUUGCUCUCUAGGAUGCCUGGAAAGACUUAUGCACCACCAAUCUGGUGACCACGGAUGCUCACUGCCCAGCCCUGAAAUAGCCAAGUUUGGAGGGAAAAGUGGGAUCAGGUAUGGUCAGGGAGAAACAGCCCCAGUGCCACACGGAUGCCUUGCAGUCCUGCCCUCCGAGUACCUCCUCUGUCAGCCAAGAAACUGAUGCAUGGAUACAUCAAAACUGAUGUCGCCUGCCAGAUCUGUGCAGAAUAAAGCCAGGCUUUCAGUGAGAGGACAGGUGGACACAGAGCAGGUUUACCCUUGGCAGUGCCACAAGCUUGAGGUCAUGUGGCAAAACACGGUGACAUUUGCUGCUGUAGCAUGAAGAGACAACUUAAAAUACCCUGGAUGAUGCAUUUUUUCCCCUCCCAUGGUGCAUGCAUUCUCCUCUUGCUCUUCUAAUGCAGUUCCAUUUUUUUUUCCCCAGUCUUCUAUUUGAGUCUCUCCCUACAGACCUUCAUGUUCCCUGAGUCCUUCUUACAGUCACAGAAUCUCUAAGGUUGGAAAAGACCACUAAGAUCAUCUAGUCCAACCGCCAACCCAACCCCGCCAUGCCCACUAAGCCAUGCCCUUCAUCCAUAUCCUUGUCCUAAGAUGUGCUGGCAGGAUCACCAGCUAUUGCCAUUUUCUUGUGAAAUCCAGUUUGGUGGUGGUAGCGCUCCAUGUGUAGGAAAGCCCAGGGACUUGGGUCUGGCAGAGAAGGUCCCUGUCCUUCACUGGCAAAAAGAGCCCAAGAAAGUGGAGAUGGAUCCAGGACAUGCAUUGUGCUCUCAGUCCUUGCUUGAGACUCCUCCUAAAGGCUCUUUUGUCUUGUUAUCAUUUCCAUUGUUUAAUGUAAAUGAUCAUGCCCCAGCGCUUGAAUCUCCUGCUUUAUGGAUUCUUUAUUAACCCCUAGGUGAUUCCUUGCGCUGUGUUUAUAGAACAUGGGUGAUUCUUGGGAAUUUCAGUCACGCUGUUGCUCUCCUGCAGGUUCCCAUGCUUCCCACCCACUGGGACCAAUUAGGGCCCUGUGGAAGUGGGUGACCAAUUAGUUAUGCCUAAGCAAGAAAAAUUUGGGAAUUUGCAGAAACAUGCCUCUCUUGCUCAUUUUGCAUUUGAGAUUUCUCGGAACGUGGCCAACAGAAAAAAAAAUAAUGGAGUUGAAAGACUCUCUGGGUUGACAAACCAAUAAUGGAACCCUGUAGGAAGGACAGAGUGGGAAAAAAAAAGGUUUACAACUGCUUAGGGGACUAGAAGGCCAAUAAUGGUCAGAAAAUAGCUGCUUCUGAUGUCCUCAAGGGGUCUGCCCAGGCAGUGCUAAAUUCUAGGACAUGAGUGUUUUAGGUAAUUGUUAUUUAUUAUCAUAUUUUGCAACUGGGAAAAAAAAAAAAGGUCCAAAGCUUUAUCACUUGCUGGAAUUGUGCUAUUUCCUCCCUUUAAACCUUUGAGCAAUAGAGAUAAAAAGUGAGUGUUACUUGUGAUAUUGGGAGAAAGAAUGCAAUAUUCUAUCUGUUACUGUCUGGAAGAGCCCCUAUCAUCUGGCCUUGCUUUGGCCCUCCCAGCUCCGGGCAUGGAGACACACACAUGCACUCAUUGUCUCCAGAGAUGGAGGCCAAUCCUUUUUAAUGUGAAGCCCUGGCACUUGGAGUCCUCCUUCUGCAUGGACAGGUUUCCAUUCAGUUGCAAAAGUGAUGGCCAUUUGGCACAAUGGCUCCUUCCAAAUCGCCGCUAAACACGGAAACCCAUCCGAAAAAACAUGACAUCAAGACGAUGCAGCGCGUUCAGAUUGGAUUCGUUCUGCUAAAUUGUUAAAAUGUUGAACGUUUCCCCUCUGCCCCUUGAGUGCUAAGACUCUUCUUCCUUUGGUGAGGCAGUUAAACUGAGGACCCCGCGAGAGGAGAUAAAAGCAGAUCUGUCUUUCGUGAGGCCAAAGAUGCACAGCCAGUAUCCCGCUAGGACGCGCGGAUUAGGAGAAUACGUAGAAUUUCCAAAUUUAGAGUGGAGGACUAGCUCCCUGCAAACAAAGGCUGCUUUUUAAAAUGAGAUGUUAGCAAGAUAAUGCCAGGGGAAAAAAAAAAAAAAAAGCUUUGCAUUUUGCGACUAAAUUCUGUUAUUUUGCAGCCAAUCUUCAAACGGGCUGUUGGUGCAAGUGAACAAACGCUUCCUGUCUGUCCGUCCUCAUGGGUGGUCGCGUUUUAAAAUGAAAUAUACAGGCUGACAAAUGCCUUUACAAAGGCCAGAUUAUAAACUGUAAACCUACUGUCAGCUGGGUAGAAAAAAAAAAAUCCAAAUGCCUCUUAUACCAUUUAAAGAUUUAGUUUGGCUUCAACACUAAAGCACUUCAUCUUGAAGGGGAAAGGAGCUUAGAGUUUAUAAAUUGUUGUUUGGGCUCUAGUAAGCUCUGGAUAAGGGAAUCUAUCUGCUAGGAAACAAAUGACCUUCCCAAAAUUUAGGGAGCUCUGGGUAUUGUUACGAAGACAAAAUGCCUUGGAAAAAUGUCCCCAGAAUACAAAGGGAUUUAAGGCUGCUCUGUUACUCUUAACAUACAGUUCAUACAGCUGCAAAGGGCAAAUCUUACAGUUCCCAUCUUUAAAAAUGGGUGGAAAAAAAGUUAAACAUAUCAGGCUAAUAAAGUACAAGCUGUUUAGAUUGUUCCCCUCUGUCUAACUCGACUAUAGACUUUCUCUCGCACACAGUUGUUGAAUCCAGGCUCAAUAUCCUCAUUAUCUUGGCCAAAAAAGUCUCAAAAUAGUCUAAGUUCUCCCCAGUAGUGAUCAUCAAAGCGAAAUUUUGCAGCAAACAGAGUGGUUUAUGGUAACAUGGUUACUGCCUUCAGCAUUUGGAAUGCAAAGCGAAGGCACAAACGAGGAAACUCCAGAAACAAUAGAAACUAAUGGGCAUUGCACACCCUUGCGUCCAUUACAUGGAAAUCUUGCAGCUCCUUUGCACAUUCCUGCAGAGCUCUUAUCCUUUGCUCUGCAAAUGCCAUUUGUAGCCUUUUCAUCAAGCUGAGUCUGCAAGAAGGCUGCUGCUGUAAGAUAGAGCUAGGUGAACAAAGAGAAGGAGGUCUAUGCUAAAACAGGACUGCGUUUUUAACCUGAUUUUUUUUUACUAUUAUUUUUCACAUUUUGUUUUUAUUUUGAGGGUUUUGAGAUGGACCUGGUCUGGUAUGCAUGUUGGGCUGGGUGGGAAACAGGCAGGGCAAGCACCACUCCCAUUGGUUAUAUAUGGAAUGGCUAUAGAUUGAGUUCCCUUUCCAUUCCAUCCGCCUCAUGCAGAUCCCCAAGGCGUCACCUCUCACUCCCUUCCCAUUUUUAUUGCUGGUAUCCACACUGACUAGCACAACUGUUUGACACUCUUGGGAAAUUACUGCAUCCAUCUUUUGAGAUGCCCGCCCUAAUCAUGGGUGCCAUCCCUUCAUUGUGCCUGUCUGGUUUUAGGAGUUUUUUUCUAUAUCUUCAAAUAACAACCUCAGAGCAAUUAUUUGAGAUGAUGUCCCCUUCCCAGGGCUCCCAUCAGGUUCCAAAGGAUGUGAGGCAGAAACAUGUUCAAUUUGCUAUGCAUGCCACAUACUUGAGGCUAAAGUACGUCAGCACUGAAUUCCAGGAGACCUUUGGAAACUAUGACUACUUCGGUGCCCAUCAGAUUGUUUUAAUGCCUGAAUGUGAUUCAUGCUGCAACUCGUGCUAUUGGCUGUCCCUCCUAUCCUACGUGGAGACCAGAUGACAGUUGUAUAGCUGUAUAAAACGCUUUUUUUUUUUUUUUUAAAGGAACAAAAAGGAAAUUACUGGAAAAUCUUCAUAGCAGAUCUCCCUCCGCCCACAGAGCGGUGGGAAUAAACAUCACAACUUCAGAUCUUGGUGAAUGCAGAUAAAUAGAGGCUUAGCUGAUAAGUUAAUGACAUACCAAAACCAGAUUGCUUGAAGUCUAAAAUAAUAAGAAGCUGAUGAGCAGAAUACUGGAAUCCUGACAAAUGCUGCUUUGUGCUCCGAGAGGAGGAAGCCUGGCUUGGUGCUCAGUGGGAUGUGGUGGGAGAUGGCAUGGGGAGCCCAAAGUGAGCACCAUGUAGCUCUCGUGUUGGGCUCCCUGGAGCAAAAAGCCUUGCUCUCGCCAACCAUGAUGCUUUCAGAGUAAACCUUCAAGCCUCUUUCAUCUCCAUUUUGGUUUUUCCAAGUAUCAAUAGAGAACUCCAGCUCUCCUGGGUCCAUCUCUUUUGUCUUGCCCUUGAAACAUCCUUCUCCACCACAGUGGGUCUGAAAGACAGCCAUUCUCCUGGCACAAUUCCAUUGUGGACCCCGUGGCUCUGUUCUCUUGACUUCCCUUAGCCUAUGUCUCCCCUGCCUUACCCUAGGAAAUCCCACAUCCUCACAUCCUCUCAGAAUAUGGUUUGACUGUGUCUUCUCAUCUCUUGUUUUAGUGUUUCCUCUUCUCUGUGAUAUCUAAUUUAGUGUUUUUCAAACUCAUUCCCAUCUCUUUCCUACCCACUGUCUUUCAAGAUCAACCUACAAUGCCUAUGUUCUGCUUUCAAACAAGUGCAGUCUCUGGUGUCCUACACCUCUCUACCAACAUAAGCAAUCACUACUCCAUCAUGAAUGUGUCCUGGCAGUUAACCAAUGAGGUCAGAGCUGUUCUUGGGGAAACGGAGGCUCAGAGAUACUAUGGAGUGCACCAAGUCACACAAGUACCUCCAGGUGGGUUGAAUCCAACUCUUCCAUGUCUCUGACAGCUAAAAAUAAAGGUGGACAAAAAGUGAAAAUUUGGGGAUAUUCUCUGAAAACAUCUCCGAGAAAAUCUUUUGCAAAUUAUUUUCUCCACAGUACUCUUGUAGACUGAGAAAUUUAUGUACAUCCUCUCCAGGUAUGCUCUUCAUGGGCGGCUGUGAUCAAGAUACAAAAAAAAAAAAAAAUCAACAAAAUCUUCUUUUGAAAACCAGUUUUAUUCCCGUAUAGGCCAUGGCAAAAUUUGUGCCCCCUUCCUACAAUUUUGAUAAAGAUUUCAUGGCUAAAUAACAAGAAAACGGCCCUCAAGGCCAAUCUGUGAAAUUGGUCUUGAUCUUCCUUGCACUCUUGCUGGAGUUCCAGCUCUGUGAGUGAGAAUCCACUUACGACUGGGGGGAAAGACAGUGCUUCAAACACUGCCACUGACAAAGUGGAGCUGGCAUGUUCUUUUUGGGGGAAAAAAAUGCAAAAGUUUUAGUAAAAUCCAACAACACUUUCCUGGAACAAUUAUACUACCCUGGGUUGAGCGAAGUGUGAAGGGAAGAUGAGUGGUGCAGUGGUUAUUAGUUGAGAUGUGCUGUUUUUGUGUAGCAGUGGAGCCGUGUCCGUUUGCUUUGCUUUUGUUAGAUUCAAACAAUUCCAUUCGGGACUGAAUGGAAUAACAGGGAUGAAGUAUAUCACAGAAUACUUUGGGUUGCAAAGGAAACUAAAGACCAUCUGGCUCCAACCAGCCAAGGAUUCCCAACAUUUCUGCAAGAUAUCCAGAAAGAAUCUGGCACUGAGGGGCUUUGCAGCUCCCAGAGCACUCUGCCCUGAUCCCGCACCCUGCAGGCUGUACUGGGCUUGAGGUGGGGACAAGAAGCCAGGAGCUCAUUUCAGUCACCUUCUCAAAGGAGUGGGGCUUAUUUAGAGCCUUAUUUUAACCAGCUGACAGGGGAGCAUUGGUUCAGGAAGGCGUGGAUGCUGAGAGCAGGUUGCUGAGGGGGCUGCCUCAUUUAUUCCCCCCUGCAGAGAGAGAAGGCUCGAUACUGCUCUGCAAUUCUCAGGAUUGGGCUGCUGAGUAAAUGGGGAAUUCAUUUAGAGAUAUCUAGUAAAUACAGGGAAUAAGCUGCCAACUCUCUUCUUAGAGCCAACAGUUCACUAAUUUUAAUCACCAGCUGGAUAUUUUUAUGGGGAGUGAAGGGACGGAGGGGUAUUAUGACAGAACAAGGGAGGUGGGAUUAGACUAAUCUAACCCAGGCCAAGUGGGCUCUUCCUGCUCAGCCAUGUGCAGUGUCAUGACUGUGUGAUUUAGACUACCGCACACUCACCAACACUGAUAAGGAGGACAAUUAUGGGGAGCGCACAGCUCUUGGUGCAGCCCUCAACCCGCAGAGCUCUGCGGAUGGCAGCUGGGGAGCGUCUCCAGCUCUGAGUCAGAGCCAUCCCCACGAUGGGGACAUGGGUGUCCUGAUGACCGCGCCCCAGGGCUCUUGUGAUGCUGCUCCAUGUGGAUCCUGGGGCUCAUUCUGCUCUCAGAUGGAGCUCACCGUUGCCUUGUCCCACGCAAAAACUCAGCAAGACCUUUCAGUGAGCUCCUCCAUCCUGCUGGGGAAACGUAGCGGGUGGCAACUUCAUUACCCAUCUCUCCGGAGAAGGUUUCUCCGUGUUACGUCUCUGCUGAGUCCCUCAAGAGCAGUUUCUCUGGCGUUAACUGUUGUGUUUCCCUGUAACUUCUGGUUCUCUCCAUGUCCUUCCUCACCUUCCGCUUACUCAUACCCAGCUGAGACUCGUGCCAGACUGUCGCUGCCUAAAUGUGUCCAACAAAUCAAGGCAAAAAGCACAGUGCCACUUCGCCUAGCCUUGGUUCUGCUGGAUACUCCUGGUGGGAAGCAUGGGAAGAGGUAUCCGGAGCCAAUUUUUUCUUUUUUUCCUCCCCCUUUUUUUUGGAAUAGCCCUCUGCUUGGCACAUAACAGCUUUUGUUGUUGUUUAUUUGUGUAGCUUUUCAUCUUAAUGAGGAUGUACGGAAACAAUUACCACAUGGUUCAUUCACAAUAUCAACUCAAGCUUUUCCUGUCUGCGCGGUGACUGGACGUAGCCACUGAAAAUCGCCGAAGUUACGCUUUUUACUCAUUAUUAUUUUGCCUUAAAUACAUAUUGUACAAUAGGGAUGGUUUUCCCCAUGAAACAAUGUUUGGGUUUUGCACCAGGUGGCUGGAAAUGCCCCGCAGCUUCUCCUCUUUGGCGGCUGAAAUUCCAAACGCUUUUAGAAGAUGUACUUUUACAGGAGGGCAGAGAGAGGUCAAGAUGCACUGACUAAUUCAAGAUUUCCUCCACUGGUUUCCAUAACAAAUAAUCAUUUUUCUUUAUUUAGCUGCGCUCACUGGUAGGUUUUCAUUUGCAUCAAAGCUUUGUUGUGCUCUCGCUUGGGCUGCCUCCAGAGGCCAAAGAACAUCACAAGCUGCUCCCAGCACAUCCUCCAAAGGCAUGGGCCAAAGUCAGAGCUGUGCGUUGGCUCCCAAGUGGAAACCCUUGUGAGACCGACCCUGGAGAGCUGCUUGGGGUGAUGUCUGCGGAUACUAAAUGAAGAUUCCCAGUGGAAACCAGUCCUAAAACUAAAAACAUUUUGUGUAAAUAGGGUGGACAGGGUAUCUGUGCUGCUGUUAAGAUGGUAACAGCUCCUGCUCUACGAACUUUUAUCUGGUUAUUCAGACGUUGGUUGAAAUUUUACCCCUUUGGGUUACAUCCUUCCGUUUGUGCGCCUCUCGCCCGAGGCUGAUUUAACAUUACCAUUAUUCUCGGGGGAAUUUCGUUCCUAAUAACUCAGGAAAUGAGCCUUCAAACUCACCUCCAAAAGCUGUGGCUUGCUUUUCCGCGUGAAACCCUGGCACCGCCGCGCUGGGGAAGCGAUGGGGAAUUUGGCAGGCGCUGGCUUUCCGAGCGGCCGCUUGCCCUUUUCCCAUCCCUGUGAAGAGCUGCCCCAGCGGAACAACGUGAUAAGAGGCUGAAAAAUGGUGUUGUGCAUGGGACAUCUGCGGGGAUUUGACAGCUAACUUCCCUGCAGAUACUGGUCUGCGCUGGGUGUGCUCCAGCUGGGGCCAUGGGGGCUUGGAUGGGACUUUCAAGGGGACUGAGGCCGUGGGCAUGAGCCUCAAGAGCAAGGACAGUGUCUCCUCGUCUGGUGAAGGAGGUGACCUGAUCAAUCCUGUUGUCUCAUUUUGAGGAGCCCAACCAUGCACAUGGGCAUAUUGCCAGUAGGCACUGAAAGGCAACCGGGAUGGCACCCAGAGCCUGUUGCUCAGACUGGGGGACACCUGAGUGCGUGCUGGAGAUGAGAAAUCCCAUUUCCAGCUCACGCAUCUCUGCCCUGUUUUUAUCUAAAAAAACCCAACACAGCUCAGGAAUUAUUCCUGGCCCCAUCCUUGGUGAUGUUCAAGCCAUGGGCUUGCAGUAGUUUGCAAUGCAUGCUGCACUUCUAUUUAUCUGAUGAGCAGAGACAUCUGUUUAUCAUAUGUUGCACGUCUGAUAAGCAACUUUUUUCUUCAUCCCAAGGCCCGAUUAAAGAUUCCAAUUAAUGUAACUUGCUGGAAGGUCCUGUAACACAGCUUUUAAAUCAAUGUCAUGUAAACUUUGCUGGGUUAAUCCUGCACAUCUGAAUUCAGCUAAAAACCAACACUGCAAGGUCAGGCUGUACAAAUUGAUGGAUUUUUAUUCCUUUAACCUUAGAAGUGUUGCGGAGAGGGUAAUAGCAGCAAGGCUUGCUCCUUCCAAUAGCUUCUUUUUCCUGCGCAAAAAAAAGAGCCAUCAGAUAUUUUCCUUCUUUCUGCUAUGUGCAUACGCAUCUAAUACAUGCACAUAUAUACGUAUAUGCAUUUUUAAAAUAAGAAGAAUUUAAAUCAGCCAAACGCUACAACAAGUUGUUGCUUCUUCUCAAGCGUCUCUUAUUUUUCGCUUUUUCCUUCAUUAAUUUGAUUCUGGUGUUGCAAACUGGUAAUAUAACGGAGAACAUUUCUCCUCCUUUUUGAAUGACCUUCGGUAAGAUGCUGAAUAGCUGUAAUGACAAACCUCUUUAAAGACACUCACCAGCACCUCAGAGCCCACGAAGAAGUUAAUGCUGGCAUAACAAAUCGGCGUGAAUUUGCAAAAAAAAAAUAAAAAAAAAAAAGUGAUGUGCAAUUCCCGGAUUUGUCUCAUCUUUUAGGGAGAGACUUUUGCAGUGCCUCCAGGACUCAGAAGUAACAAUCUCUUAUCAGAGCUCUUUAGUGCCUUUCCACUAUCAUCAAUACAUAUAAACAAAGGAUAAGAAAGCUAAUACUUUGCGUGGAUAACUUUCUGCAGGAGAAUGCAGCCCAUGUAACAGCCUGUGGCAGAAGACCGUCGUUAUCAGCUCUAAGCUAAGGAGGGUAUUUUAUUUAGGGAAUCCAGCACUUCCUGCAUUCUUGUUUAUCUGACAAUAUUUCGUGUUUCCUAUAUGCUCUUACUUUGCUUUGCUCAGGCAUAAAUGUUAAUAUUUUAAAUUGAAAAUCACUUAUUGUUACUAUUAUAGCAAAGACCUGCUGGAGGCACUUCGCUUUUCAGCUUGGAGCUGUGCGGCUCAAUAGCCCUCCAUCAACCUCAGAGCUUCUCUGUACGAACAACUGCACGUUCCACUUCUUUUUCUUUAUUAACUCAAAUCCUUCCUCUAUUGGUUGAUAUCAAAGCUUGAAGCCAGCAGAGGUGUUAUGGAACGCCCCUAUUCCUAUUGCACCAGCCAGGACACGAGGUGCACUGAGGCUGAGGUUCCUGCAGGCUGGGAUGUGCCACCUGGAUCACCUGCGUUCCCCGCUUGCCCUGCUCCUGCUGGGACUUCCUUCUGCCUUUCUUCUCUCCUGAACUUGGCUCCUUUCCGCGUUUUUUUCCUUCGCUCUUUCAGGAGCGUUUGGGAUUUCAACAGUAACAAAAGCGCGGUGCCAGGAUUUUAGCUGGAGCUCCUUCUGCUGGCAGGAUGACCGCUUUGCACAGAGAAAUUCCCCUGCGAGCCCAGACGCGAGUUCUCUCCUUUUCUUUUUUUUUUUUCUCUCUCUCUUUACAUGUACUUCUUGCCAACAAAGGGAUGACCUUAAUAAAAACAUCUACACUAAGAAUGGAGCUGGGCAUUUGCCUGUCCCCCACAGCUCGUUACUGCAGUGAGAGGUGCUCGGGGUCCAUGGCUUGCUUUAAACUUGGCUGAAUCUUACCAGGAACUUUUAUCAGCUGCAAUGAUUUUGGUAUCGAGCCCAAUGCUGCAUGUGGAAGUGAUGGAGUCCAGAGCUGGGAGAAGUCCUGCUUUGAGUUUUCUGUCCAUGGUUUCGGAAUCAAUGUUGUCUCUGCCUGUGCUCUGUUGGAUGACCAUUCCUUCUCCUGCUAGAUAAUUUUGUCAGUGAUUUCAGCGUGGGCAAGACUUGGAAAAACACAAAGUCCUGGCAGCCUAAUUUCUUUAUAUAUUUGCCUAGUUACACUUAUGGCUGUGGACAUUCCUGAAUGUUUUAAGCACCACUAAUGUGUAAGAGAAGACUGACCCACAUCAGACACAAUCCAGCUGCCAGCUGUGCUACAAACUCAUGAUUAGCUUGGAAAGCACUGAUUAGAGUUACAAAGCAUACCAAUGGGUAUGAGUUUAUUCAUAUUCAACCCAAAUCCUAUUUAUAAUAUAAAGGAAAUAACAUUGGUAUUACACAGGGCAACUUGGACAGCCUGGAUGUAAGAGUAGUGAACCGCACUCUUCAAAAGCGCCGAAAGCUGUUGUUUUCCAAAGCCAUGGUGGGAAAGUAGAAAUUUCACUUAAAACGAGACAGUUGCACCAGAAAAUGGCCUGUCCACACUGAUGGGAAUGUGGAAAUUUCACUUAAAAUGAGAUGAUUGCACCAGAAUAUGGUCUGCCCACACUGAUUCUCCUCUUCCAAUGUAUCUUUUGACAAACAUCAUCUCGGAGCUAUGAGCUUUAGGUACAAAAUACGGACCCGAAUUUUGGACAAAGAGACUCGGCGUACUUUCUUGCACAGCUCUUCAUCUCGACUUAGUUUCCACCUGCCACAGGUAGCUAUAUAUUCUACCCAGAUCACCCAACCAAGCUCUCAAAUACGAACCAAUUCAGAGCUUUAAAAGAGCCCGGUUAGAAGUUAUUUUUGGUAAGUCAAAGCAUAGGUGGCUUGGGCAUGGGAAAUAUGUUUCUGGGUAGAUCUGUGUGAAUAACGGAUUGUUUGGUUCACUUGCUGCUCCAAACAAUCGGGAGAGAAAAAUGGCUUCCGGUGAAUUAAGUCUUUUGUACGACGUGGAAGCCUUAAUGGACCUUUGAACUCUUUUAAAAUAAAGAAAUACAUUGCGUUAUCUGCAAUGCUUCAUUUCAUGUCAAAAAGAAAGGUGGUGACCUUUGAAAGUCUUUUGAUGGUGGUAACAGUUCGGUGAAAUCAACACAAUUUUCCCAAAAUGUUUCAGUUGAUUUGAAUCUGGGACGGGGAAAAACGCGGCCGAAGGAGUUUUGCUUUUGUGUUUGUGGGUUUGGCAGGGGUAAAACGCUCAUGGAUCAGACCCCCAUGGCUACUGGCUCCCUUAAGUAUGAUGCACCGAGAAUUUUAUAUUGGUGUGUGCAGAUAUUUUUGUCUUGGAAUCCACCCUCGCGUUUGCAUUGCAGUUAUGAAAUAAAACCACAAGCGAUACGAUCUGUUGAAAUAUUCUGUGAGGCCUUGGUUAUCAGGAUGUGAUUUUGUACCACUUUGCAACGUGAGGCUUUCCAGUUUAAUGCACGAUGACAGAACAAGAUCCGUUUACAGGGAUAAAGCGAGCUCGUUUUCAAGACCAAGUUUAGCAACUUCUCAAAUGUCGGUUGUUGUCUGUCCUGUUAAUUGGCUGCAUGGCUGCAGUUUGUGUGGGCUGACCAUUAUAACGUCAAUAAAUCCACCGACUGGAAAUGAAAUUUGAUGCAUAACGGGGACGAAUGUUGUGUUCCUGGGAGCCUGACCACGUGCGCCGGUCAGGGGAGUGCAGUGGAUGAGGUUGAGUAGCCUCAUCUGAUGUAAAAGCAAUUUUUCCUAGAGAAGAAGGCUAAGCUCUAGGAUUUUACAUGGGUCCUCCACUAAGAAUGGCCAUUUAAAUGGUUUUUGAUGGAGAAAAGGCACCAGAAAGGCAUUUUCCCCUUCACCUCAGUGUCUCCAAGUUCAGCCUUUCCCCAUGGGGUUUGGACAAAAGUUCAUUUCCCUGGGCUGCUGGAAGUCUGGCGUAAGAUUUUAGUGUAAAGAGCCCAAACUUUGCAUUUUCCUGCCUUUCCCCCCCCCCAAAAAAAAUAAAAAUACAAAUCCUCAAAACACCCUUCCAAAAUAAAAUCAGCUCAUGGGGGAAAGCCCAAGGAACAAGAAAAGCCGGGAGGUAGCGGCGUGCUGCGCGCGAUGGCAGACAGAACUCCACGCCAGUGGGGAUUAUUAAUGGCCAGAGCGCGCCAUGUGGUUCUUUUUCCACUCACGCUGACAGCAACUGUUUGUCUUCUGUUGUCCAAAUUGUUCAAUUCUUCCCGUCCGAAAAUUGCGAUUUCUGAAGGAGUGCACCGCGAAUGAGUCCGGCGCUCCGCAAGUUGCCUGCCCGGGUAGCUGUAACAGCAGGUUAUAUUCAAAUAAUUAUAAACCUAGUGCAUUACAUAUUUAAAAAAAAAAAAAAACAAAAAACAAAAAAAAACCCCAACUCUAAAUUUUAAUUUGCUGCUUGCGCAAGACAAAAUCAUGGAAAAUGCAUGGACUCAGUUCCUGUAGAAAUAGAAACGAGGGUAAUGAGAGAAACUUACUGCCUGCAAGCGAGUGUUUCUGUAGGUUUGCAGUCACACCCGUUGUAUCCCCCCGAGAGCUCGGGUUUCACGGGGCAGGAGCCGGACCAUCAAGCAGAGAGCAACCACGGCUGCAAUUAGCCGCAGAAGCCGAAUUUGGGGGAUUUCUCAUUAACCUGUCAUGUCAAAUGCCGUAUGAUAAGAUGGUGAAAAUUGGGGGGGAGGAGUGGCGGUGGAGGGGUAAAAGUUCAUUUUGCAAAGCAAACAAACAGCGAGUCACUUGAUUUUACUAAUUAUCCUAGCCUGUGGCUCUCUCAGCCAUUAUUUCCUCCCCCCCCCAUCAGUGUAUGAACUGACAAGAUAAGAUAGGGGCUGGUAUUUUCUAAACUACCCUGCCUGACGGCAUAUACAGAUAAUAUGAGGAUUCAUUUGCGAGAGCGCACGGAAGAUUGAUUGAUUUUCUUAAUGCCGGAGUCAUCGCUCAUUACCGAAAUAACUCCUGGCAUUUGUGGGGAAUGGUGUGAGGGCACGGCAGGAUGCCCACCCGCAAAUGGUGCCCUGGACGUCAUCUUUUUGGGUGAAAAAGGGCGAUUUUUGUGCAAGUUGUGGGCUUGAUCCUCAGUGCAGUGAUACCGAUGGGUGGGUAAGUGCUGGAUUGCACCGUCUGUAGCGCAGACUUUUUAUAUAUAUACAUUAUAUAUAUAUAAUUAUGUGUGUUAUAUACUCAUUUUAUACAUACAUUUUAAUGAUGCUUUUCAUUGUGAACUAAUAGACCUGCAAUUUCUCGGAAAUGCUGUGGGUAUGGGCUUAGCCGACCAAAAAUCUUCCAACCUGUUGGUACAUGCGGGCAAAAUCACAUCCAGCCUGUGCUGCCUCUUGCUUGGGUUGAGGUUCCCAUCAACGUGAACCUCUCAACAGAAGCCCACGAGGAAUCUCAGCAACCUGCACACACCCCAUCCCAACGCAUAGGGAAAAAAGAAGGGCACUGAGUGAUGAUGCUCGCGCCAAGGCUCUCGCGUGUAAUCAGUGCGUUCGCGUGAAUGAUGCGCUACCCUAAGAGACAGAGAUUUUUAACUUUAUUUCCACGCCGCAAUAACUAAACGGGUGGCCGAAGGUGUGCUGCCCUCACGCUGUGCCUUUCCCAAGCUCUCUCUGCAGAGCGGUGCAAGGAGGACAACGCCAUCGUCACCGCCGAGGGCAGAAACAUCGCAGCGCUGACUCCCGGUAUCAAACCCGAACCCGACGCCAGCGCAACGCAUCGUGUCAGAAGACUCUCGAUCCACAGCGCUGCCUUCGGCGCAACACGUUGCAGCUGGCGGGGUGUUAUUUAUAGCUUUACCCCCCUCCCCCCCCCCCCAAAAAAAAAAAAAAAGAAAAGAAAAAAAAGAAAAGCAAAACACUGGAAAGAGUAGAAAGCGUUUUUCGAAACAGCAAAUUUGUCAAUGUUUUUCCUCGCUGCCGAGCGGGACGGUGGGUCGGCGCUGGUUUAGAUUAGCCGCGUCCCGUGCCGCCGGGUCGGACGGUAGCGCCGUGAACCUGCAGCGCGCGGCUCGGCGGCGCGGAGAGCAGCGAGGAGGAGGAGGAGGAGGAGGAGGAGGAAUGCGGGGAAUGUUUUUCCUCGGCGGUGCCGCGGUGACAGCGCUAACACUUCCCAGAGCCGAGGACCCCGAAGCCGAAAUGGCGUUGCCCACCCUGAAAGCGAGAAGGAAACGGGUCUCAGAUGUUUAUAUGUUCAAAAGUAAGGCUACUAAUCUGCCUGCCCCUUUACCCGGCAUCAACAACUGUCACGUCUUUUCUCCUGGCUUUGGGGCCAAAUUAUGUAUUUGCUUAAUAUCUUUUAAAUCGGCAAAGUAACUGCUGUCAUGCGAUCGCUGGGUUUGCUUGCUAACAGCAGGCAAAGCCACCUCGGCAAUGUAAGCCAAUGUUUACUAUAGGAUCAUGAGAUUUUGUGCUUAUGGAGAUGGGCUUGGGCACGGAAGGUGGGAGAAAAGGGCUCGAGGAGCUGCAGCUCAAUGCUUGGUGUUUGUGUCCAUCAGACACAAACUGAACUGGGAACAUUUGAAGCACUGCUGUUUGUGAUAUCUAAGCAAAGAAGGGGAGAUUAAUCUGCAUCGGUAGAUUUCCUCGCUGUUCCCCAGUGCACUAUCACAUCACACACUUAACGCAGAGAUUCGUUCCCUUCCAUUAAUUGGUAUUUUUAUUUCCUUCUUUUCAGCCCCGUGCAACAAAGAGGCCGAUAAUACACCACUGAAAUGGGCUGCAGCAGGAGCACCCCGAGGGGCUCGUUGGACAACGCCUGAGCUGUGGGGUGACACACAUGCUGCACUGCCCACCACUUCUGGCCUUGUUUUUCCCCACAGCUUCUCCACAUGGUUCACAUUUCCGACCCAGCGUGCACUGCAGCCCCCAGCCCAGCACCUGGUUCAUGGUGCAAUGAGAAUCAAAUUAAAUCAGUGAAGAGCUUCAGUAACGAAAGCGGUGGGAGCAGCAGGUAACACUUCAGAGUCGCCUUUUUUGCAGGUAGAGGUCCCAUGGACCCUCAUGCAGAUUUGUCUGGGAAAGAUGCUGGAGGAUUGGGCUCCUUUUGUAAUAAAAUCUGUAUUUUUUUUUAAUAUCAUGGCUGAAAUGAGGCCGUGAAAUAUUAACCGUGUUUUGCCACGACGUAGGAAAAGGGCAAAUACCAAAAAUGCAGCGUUUACUGACCACACUGAAAGAGAAAGGACUGGUGCUCAAGGGCAGUAUCGAGGCAUUCUCGCAGUGCAAACAGAGUAUUUUUCCUUCUGAAUAAUAAAGAAAUAACUCCUGAA